rnacentral:tRNA from 1 species
GCCUGGGUGGCUCAGUUGGUUGAGCAUCUGACUUCAGCUCAGGUCAUGAUCUCGCAGUUCAUGGGUUUGAGCCCCACAUUGGGCU